AUUUCCAGUAGCUUAUCCUAAAGGCAUUAGAUUCCCAUCUGAUCUUGGAAGCUAGGCUGGGACAGCCCUGAUUAGCAUAUGGAUGGGAGACUAACAAAUAUAAGGUGCUGGAGGCU
rnacentral:rRNA from 11 species